rnacentral:rRNA from 1 species
CCUACGGGUGGCAGCAGUGGGGAAUAUUGGACAAUGGGGGGAACCCUGAUCCAGCCAUGCCGCGUGUGUGAAGAAGGCCCUCGGGUUGUAAAGCACUUUCAGUGAGGAAGAACGCCUGGUGGUGAAUACCCAUCAGGGAAGACAUCACUCACAGAAGAAGCACCGGCUAACUCCGUGCCAGCAGCCGCGGUAAUACGGAGGGUGCGAGCGUUAAUCGGAAUUACUGGGCGUAAAGCGCGCGUAGGUGGCUUGAUAAGCCGGUUGUGAAAGCCCCGGGCUCAACCUGGGAACGGCAUCCGGAACUGUCAAGCUAGAGUGCAGGAGGGGAAGGUAGAAUUCCCGGUGUAGCGGUGAAAUGCGUAGAGAUCGGGAGGAAUACCAGUGGCGAAGGCGGCCUUCUGGACUGACACUGACACUGAGGUGCGAAAGCGUGGGUAGCAAACAGGAUUAGAUACCCUAGUAGUC